GGUAAUCUGCCCCGAUGACCGGGACAACCCGAGGAAACUCGGGCUAAUACCGGAUGUGGUGCACUGACAUAAGUCUGUGUACUAAAGGAAGCUUCGGCCUCCGCAUUGGGAGGUGCCCGCGGCCCAUUAGCUUGUUGGUGGGGUAACGGCCUACCAAGGCGACGAUGGGUAGCUGGUCUGAGAGGACGAUCAGCCACACUGGGACUGAGACACGGCCCAGACUCCUACGGGAGGCAGCAGUGGGGAAUCUUGCGCAAUGCGCGAAAGCGUGACGCAGCAACGCCGCGUGGGGGAAGACGGCCUUCGGGUUGUAAACCCCUUUCAGGAGGGACGAAGGUUCGCCGGUGAAUAGCCGUGCGGAUUGACGGUACCUCCACAAGAAGCUCCGGCUAACUACGUGCCAGCAGCCGCGGUAAUACGUAGGGAGCAAGCGUUGUCCGGAAUCAUUGGGCGUAAAGCGCGCGUAGGUGGCCACAUAAGUCCGUUGUGAAAGUCAAAGGCUCAACCUUUGAAAGCCGAUGGAUACUGUGUGGCUAGAGUACGGAAGAGGCGAGUGGAAUUCCUGGUGUAGCGGUGGAAUGCGCAGAUAUCAGGAGGAACACCAAUAGCGAAGGCAGCUCGCUGGGACGUUACUGACACUGAGGCGCGAAAGCGUGGGGAGCGA
rnacentral:rRNA from 1 species